rnacentral:rRNA from 1 species
CGGUUAAACCAUAGGGCUAAAUUAUAUUUUUAGGUAAUAAAAGCAGUUAGGUAACCAAAAAAGCAGUUAUAUAACUAUUCAUGAAGAGAUUAAAUUUAGAUAUGAUUUAUUAAGCCCCUAAUAACUAUAUAUAUACUGAAGCUGCCACAUCUCUAAGGGAAACUAGGAUUUGAUACCCUAUUAUUUUCAGACAUAAAUUUUUUUAUACCAGAGUACUACGAAUUAAUAAUUUCAAACUCAAAGAGCUUGGCGGCAUUUUAGACUAAUCAGGGGAACCUGUCUCAUAAUCGAUACUCCACGCCGAAUACUUACCUCUUUUUGCCCUCAGCCUGUAUACCGUUGUCGCCAGGUCACUUUUUAGAAAAAAAUAGUCAGCAAAAUAACCUUCUAGUUAAGACGUCAAAUCAAGGUGCAGCCAAUAAAGAGGAGCAGAUGGGUUACAAUUAACAAUUAUAAUACGAAUUAUAUACUGAAAAGCAAAUAUCAAGGUGGACUUGAAAGUAAAAUAAAUUAGAAAAAUAUAUUGAAUCUAGCUCUGAAAUGUGUACUAAUUCCCC